UGGGGAAUAUUGCACAAUGGGCGCAAGCCUGAUGCAGCCAUGCCGCGUGUAUGAAGAAGGCCUUCGGGUUGUACAGUACUUUCAGCGGGGAGGAAGGCGAUAAGGUUAAUAACCUUGUCGAUUGACGUUACCCGCAGAAGAAGCACCGGCUAACUCCGUGCCAGCAGCCGCGGGAAUACGGAGGGUGCAAGCGUUAAUCGGAAUUACUGGGCGUAAAGCGCACGCAGGCGGUCUGUCAAGUCGGAUGUGAAAUUCCCGGGCUCAACCUGGGAACUGCAUUCGUAACUGGCAGGCUAGAGUCUUGUAGAGGGGGGUAGAAUUCCAGGUGUAGCGGUGAAAUGCGUAGAGAUCUGGAGGAAUACCGGUGGCGAAGGCGGCCCCCUGGACAAAGACUGACGCUCAGGUGCGAAAGCGUGGGGAGCAAACA
rnacentral:rRNA from 1 species